GAGAGAGGCAGGCUGGGUCCGCCUGGCAGCCUACGAGAGGAGGCGGGAGCGGGAGAGGAGGGGAGCCGAGGCCCGGAGUGGGGAGGCCGGCAGGAAGGGCUACGAGCCCAGCUCGGACCUUUCUUCAGCCUCCCGGCGGCCGAACGCAGCGCUAGGCUGCUGCGCUGUGAGGAUGCCCUGACUCAGUGCCGGACGCUGUGGCUGGUGGCGCCGCGAGCCUCCGGGCGUCGGAUCCCGGCAUGAGAAACGGCAGAGCUGUGCCGUGCCCUCGCCCAGGAGGCCUGGGCGCUGCGAGCCAGGUGGAGGCGUCGGAGUUCACUAAUUAGACAGGUUUUGUCUCCCACGUUUCAGUAAGACCCGUCUCAGAGUUCUCAGAAUUCCUCUCAGAGGAGAGUAAAGUUAGAACUGCAGGCUGGUUUUCCUGUCAGCGCCCGUACCUCGGGUGCAGAAGGGAACUUAGCGGAGGGUUGUCUGGUGAAAGGCGUUCCAGGCACCGCGGGGCAGGGGCUUCACUUUUCCAAGUUGGAAGAAGCGGGAAGCAGUGGGGUCGGGGCAGCGGCGGUGAGCAGCCUCCUCAGAGAACUGGGCAGUUUCACGCGGGAUCUGCGGCGAGACCACAGGGCACGCCCUCGUCGCGCGCGCCCUCAGAGCCAGGCUGGGACGAGGGGAAACCCUAAGCUGCCCUGAGGAGACCACCUCCUGCUACACUGAAGGAGAAGAAGGUUCGGAGGGCGACCAGAGCGACAGAACCGGGGCUGAAACUCAGCUCGCUGGUCCGCCACCAGGCUUCUUUACCUUCAGCAAGUUUGCAGCCGUGAGUGAAAACCAGACUUCUCUACUUAAUUACUGAUUCCAAAGAUUAAAUUGUUAAAGGUUGGCAAUGUUCCCAGAUGAAAUGUUCACCUUUUAAGAAUCUAUUGCAUCCAACUGUGGCAAUGUACCAAAAGUUCUACAGCACAGCUAAAGAGGGAGCAGCCACCUUACCUCCAUGUUUGGACAAGCAUGAAGAUAAGAACUUCCCUGUGUGCGUGAUGGAAAAAAAUGAUAGAAGGGGCCAAAUUCCCAUCACUAAUACUUGUUGAUAUGUGAGGAAAAAUAAAAUGCUAUUACAAAGUUAAGCUACA
rnacentral:lncRNA from 1 species